rnacentral:rRNA from 1 species
AGAGUUUGAUCCUGGCUCAGGAUGAACGCUGGCGGCGUGCUUAACACAUGCAAGUCGAACGGUGAACACGGAGCUUGCUCUGUGGGAUCAGUGGCGAACGGGUGAGUAACACGUGAGCAACCUGCCCCUGACUCUGGGAUAAGCGCUGGAAACGGCGUCUAAUACUGGAUAUGUGACGUGAUCGCAUGGUCUGCGUCUGGAAAGAAUUUCGGUUGGGGGUGGGCUCGCGGCCUAUCAGCUUGUUGGUGAGGUAAUGGCUCACCAAGGCGUCGACGGGUAGCCGGCCUGAGAGGGUGACCGGCCACACUGGGACUGAGACACGGCCCAGACUCCUACGGGAGGCAGCAGUGGGGAAUAUUGCACAAUGGGCGCAAGCCUGAUGCAGCAACGCCGCGUGAGGGACGACGGCCUUCGGGUUGUAAACCUCUUUUAGCAGGGAAGAAGCGAAAGUGACGGUACCUGCAGAAAAAGCGCCGGCUAACUACGUGCCAGCAGCCGCGGUAAUACGUAGGGCGCAAGCGUUAUCCGGAAUUAUUGGGCGUAAAGAGCUCGUAGGCGGUUUGUCGCGUCUGCUGUGAAAUCCGGAGGCUCAACCUCCGGCCUGCAGUGGGUACGGGCAGACUAGAGUGCGGUAGGGGAGAUUGGAAUUCCUGGUGUAGCGGUGGAAUGCGCAGAUAUCAGGAGGAACACCGAUGGCGAAGGCAGAUCUCUGGGCCGUAACUGACGCUGAGGAGCGAAAGGGUGGGGAGCAAACAGGCUUAGAUACCCUGGUAGUCCAA